UACGUAGGGUGCAAGCGUUAAUCGGAAUUACUGGGCGUAAAGCGUGCGCAGGCGGUUUUGUAAGUCUGACGUGAAAGCCCCGGGCUUAACCUGGGAAUUGCGUUGGAGACUGCAAGGCUUGAAUCUGGCAGAGGGGGGUAGAAUUCCACGUGUAGCAGUGAAAUGCGUAGAGAUGUGGAGGAACACCGAUGGCGAAGGCAGCCCCCUGGGUCAAGAUUGACGCUCAUGCACGAAAGCGUGGGGAGCAAACAGG
rnacentral:rRNA from 1 species